rnacentral:rRNA from 1 species
UACGUAGGUUGCAAGCGUUGUCCGGAUUUACUGGGCGUAAAGAGCGCGCAGGCGGUCGUGCAAGUCGCGUGUGAAAGCCCCCGGCUCAACUGGGGAGGGUCACGCGAUACUGUUCGACUCGAAGGCAGGAGAGGGAAGCGGAAUUCCCGGUGUAGUGGUGAAAUGCGUAGAUAUCGGGAGGAACACCAGUGGCGAAGGCGGCUUCCUGGCCUGUUCUUGACGCUGAGGCGCGAAAGCUAGGGUAGCAAACGGG